GUGAUUUAAGCUGAAGCUGAACUACUUACUGAACUUACAAGUUACUGCUUAUCGGAUAGAAUUGGGAAGGCAGCAGGGCAAACAUUGAUAUAGCAGAAAUAUCAAAUGUUUCCUCAAUAGAUUUACUGCUUUGGCCUGUUUUCUUACACUGAAUACCUAAGGAUUUUGGACACUCUCAGGUGUGUCUAAUCCCUUCAUCCUUUCAACACCAGGUAUUUUAAACUGGUUUUCCCUGGGUAUCUUCUCUCUCCUUGGAAUUGUCUGCACUUGGUGGCUUCCAGAACUGGAUCCUUUACUACUGAUCCCAAGCACCACAUGAGAACAGACCCUCCAUGUGCUCCAAACCCAUACAGAAGAAAAGGACUUCAUUAAAUGUUGCCACCCCUGAGCUCUGGUGUUCCUCCUGAAAACGUAGUGGAAGACUAUCAUAAUUAUGUAAAACUUUUUACAAGGCUCGUAGUGUUACUACCACAACACUGCUUCUGACAUGAAUGAGAUCAGUUUCAUUCACAAGAGAGAUAAAUUUCAUUCAGACACAUGCUGACCGCAACGAAAUCCAAAGACCAAAGGGAGGUGAUUUAAAGCCACUCACUGAGAAAAGAGCUGCUUCCAGCCAGCCCAAGGAAAGGAUAAAUACAAGGAAAGGCUGGACUUUGACCUCUUUUGAGGCUAGGUGCCUGAGGGAAGCAUAUGAGGUGAUUCACAGCAGGGCAAGAUUCACUGAACCAGAAGGGAGGUCUUAAGGAAGCUGACUCCACUUUUCUUAGCUCUGUGGUUUUUAGCUGAGAGCAGGCAGGCAACUUCUGCUUUUGGAGAGCUGUUUUGCCCUAGGCAGUCACAGAAGAGUUGGAAUGACACAGAGACCAGAGAUAAGUGGGCAUCCUCACCCCAACAGGUCUGUGAUUUAGAAAGUGAGGCACUGUCCAGGAGAGUGGGCUCUGUUGGGAGAAGAGGGAAAAAGGAGGGUCACUUCUUACCCCUUGACACAGCAGAUUGAUUUGGCUGAAUGAUUGAGACUACAUAAUGCCACUCUUUCUCUCAGCUACCUGUAACACAGGCCUUUAAACAUUAGAGAAGCCAUGAUCCUGCAGUGACCUAGUAAGAUUCUCAAAAACACUUAGCCCAAGAGGAAGGAAGCACUGUUAGAGCACAGUGUUUAAUGUGUUCUGAUCAUUCUUUAAAUAUUUUUCUGUAGCCAACAUACUAGCUCUUAACAUGAGCUACUAUGAUUACAGUAAAGCCAAGGAGAGAGCCUUGGAGUUUAACAAAACCAGCUUAAAAUAUGAAAAUUUGGUGAGUUUUUUUGCAGUGGGUUUAGAAAUAGCUGUCAGAAUGUCCUUACAAUUUGUGGCAUGGUGCUGCACAGUGAAUUUGGUGCCACCAUCAAAUUUUAAAUACUGAAGCCUAGAUAUUUGAAGCAAUUUAGGUAGUCAGUCCUAUGAAUAUAGAGGAGGCUUGGGAUGAGAGCCAGCUGCCUAAGAUCAGGUGGACAGAGACCUUCCAGGUGCCUGAUGGUACCCAAAUAAUCUGCAUUUGGCAGGCAGACAUGAUGUGGUCCUGACGGGACCUGCAGGAAUCCCAUGCUCUGCUGGAGAGGCCUUUGAGGAGGACACCCUAUGGGCCAUCCGGGGAACUCUGAACAUCCACGACAAGGCACUUGAACCACUUGGUCAGUUCUUGGGGCAAUGUUUGCUCUGCACACAGAGAUGCCCUGUGGGCUCUAUCUGCUCAGCCCUUGCUGAGGAGUUCCACACCCCACUGCAUUCUGUGGGGCAAGACCAUUACAGUGGUAACGUGGAUACAGACAACAUCCAUGUUGAAAUGAGCUGUUUUUCAAGGGAGGAAUAUGUUUUUUCUAUUCUGAUCUGUGACACCUAAGUGAAAAUUGAAUCCUAAAAUUGUAUUUUAUUAUGUGUUGGUAAAGCACAGCAAAGAUUUUCAAUGCUUUAUUAAAGGUUUUUAAUAUGCUUGAUUGCAUAUAUCCCAGCCAAAAUCUUCUCUAUCCUACAUAGGUAUUUAUCUCAGCCAGCAGAUUUUGUUUGCUCAGAUCCAAAUUAGAAAGUAUUUAAAGCAGAUAGCACAUCUCUAAAAAUAUACUGAAUUUACAAUGAAGCUUUAACAUUCUCUUGCUAAAUUUCACACAUCUGAUUUGAUUUCUGAAAAGAAAAGGUAAACACGGAAAUUUUCUUCACUAGUUCUCAUGCGCUGCUUGCAACAAUACAAGAAGAAUAUUUCCUAUUUUACUACCAUGUAUUUGAAGCAGAGAACAAAUGCCCAUUCCCUUUACAGGCAAGGAAGUCAAGUUUCCAACUGCAGUUAAUGCCGUGUUUUGUUCUAUUUCUUGGUAAUGUAAGCUCUUAUGCAAAUUGAAUGUCUGCUGUUCAGGCCCAGUUGACUACAACAGGGGAGGCUGGAACCAAAUUGCUUCUGUCUGUCUUAACAGGACUUUUUAAUAAAAUCUACUUUACAUAGCCA
rnacentral:lncRNA from 1 species